CACUUAUACUGUGUGUGCUGGAUUGAGGAAUUAGACACUCGGCGUACAAGAGAGCUCAGGGUCACACGAGGACAGAGUCUCAGAGCUUGACCUGUCGGUUCUGUUUAUUUUCAGAAACAGAGAGGAGCGAGCGUGCAGAGAGCUACCUCACAAACAGAGACAGAGCUGCGAGCUGCGCAUAAGUUCUCCCGCCAUUCCGCUCGCCCACCCCACAGCAGAUGGUUUAAAUUACAGCAGAAGCUGUAACGAGAUUCCUGCACGAUUAAUACGCAGAGCAGUUUUGGGAUUUCAAUACGAGGGAUUGGAGCUAAUGCGAUUAUCAAGAGAGGAGCAGGGGGAGAGGAGACGAUGAAAAACAGGUUUGGAGGAGAGAUGAACGCAGGGGAAUGGGGUGAGAGGAAGAGACUCUGGUGCGUUCCAAGCAUCAUGUCAUCUUCGUUACCGAGAGCUGUUAUUAGCCAUUUGUAAUUGUUUUGCCAGCUGUCCCAAAUGCCAGCGGCUGUGCACCAGAUACACAAGUGGACUCUGGACACUUUGGGAGAUGCGAACAGCAAACAUACCCACAUUUCUCUCUCUCUCAACACCUGUGCCAUUCUGUGGGGGUGACAGAUUUUACGAGCAGAAAACCUGAUUUGCAGGGGGUUAACCGCCUGUGUGACCUCUAAACCUUGACCUUUGGUGACCUCUGAGCUGUCAGGUGCAAGAGUGGUGGGAUAAGGGCACGACAGUCUGGACAGGGGGAUUUCCACUCAGACGCUAGCAUGCAAACAAAUA
ensembl:lncRNA